GGCUCCAGGGGGGCCUCGAGUGAGCUGAAUGGGGU
rnacentral:tRNA from 1 species